rnacentral:rRNA from 1 species
AUUGAACGCUGGCGGCAUGCUUUGCACAUGCAAGUCGAACGGCAGCGCGGGCUUCGGCCUGGCGGCGAGUGGCGAACGGGUGAGUAAUAUAUCGGAACGUACCCAAGAGUGGGGGAUAACGUAGCGAAAGUUACGCUAAUACCGCAUACGAUCUAAGGAUGAAAGCAGGGGAUCGCAAGACCUUGUGCUCCUGGAGCGACCGAUAUCUGAUUAGCUAGUUGGUGAGGUAAAGGCUAACCAAGGCAACGAUCAGUAGCUGGUCUGAGAGGACGACCAGCCACACUGGAACUGAGACACGGUCCAGACUCCUACGGGAGGCAGCAGUGGGGAAUUUUGGACAAUGGGGGCAACCCUGAUCCAGCAAUGCCGCGUGAGUGAAGAAGGCCUUCGGGUUGUAAAGCUCUUUUGUCAGGGAAGAAAAGGUCGUGGCUAAUAUCCACGACUGCUGACGGUACCUGAAGAAUAAGCACCGGCUAACUACGUGCCAGCCGCCGCCGUAA